rnacentral:misc_RNA from 1 species
UCCGGUUUGUCACCGGCAGUCUCAUUAGAGUGCCCUUGCGUAGCAACUAAUGAUAAGGGUUGCGCUCGUUGCGGGACUUAACCCAACACCUCACGACACGAGCUGACGACAGCCAUGCACCACCUGUGAUCCUGCCCGUGAGGGAAGCCGUGUUUCCACGGCGGUCAGGAACAUGUCAAACCCAGGUAAGGUUCUUCGCGUUGCGUCGAAUUAAUCCACAUAAUCCACCGCUUGUGCGGGUCCCCGUCAAUUCCUUUGAGUUUUAACCUUGCGGCCGUACUCCCCAGGCGGUCAACUUCACGCGUUAGCUUCGUUACCAAGGAAUUGCUUCCCCGACAACCAGUUGACAUAGUUUAGGGCCAAGACUAC